CAGGCUGAAUAUUUUUGUUCCCUCAGAAUUCAUCUGUUGAAACCUAAUCCCCAAUGUGAUGGUAUUCACAGCUGGAGCUUGUAGGAGGUGGUUAGGUUAUGAGGGUGGAGCCCUCAGGAUUGGGAUUAGCGACCUUCAAAGGAGACAGUAGCAUGCUCCUUCCACCAUGUGAAGAAACAGUGGGAAGAUAGCCAGCCAUCUUUGAACCAGGAAGAAGGAUCUCAUCAGAUACCCAGGCUGCCAUCGCCGUUAUCUUGGACUGCCCAGCCUCUGGAACUACCCUCUAAGGCAAUGCUUCUCCAAGGGAGGCACCAAGAGCAUCUGCAUCAGAAUCCUCUGAGGCACAUGCCUUGACUAUAAUGCCAUGCUCAGGAUGUAAAAGAGGCAUACUCCAAAGGGCAGCAUUUUAAGUAAAAGCAUCAAAUCAUAACCAAACGACUUCCAGAGAAAUCAGCCAAGAGACUGCAGCAAGAGUCAGAGAAAGCCUUCAAACCCCUAAGUGUUUUCAAAAAACUUCCCAAACAGCACUUUUGUGGGAGGGGCAUGCUCUAAGUGACAUUGUUUCACACCCAAUUUGUUGUGCAUAGUUUAUCCUGCCUUGCAUGCCAAUUGGAUUGCAGAAAUGCUUUGUAUGCAGCCUGGGAAAGGUAUAAAGGACGUAAGUAAUGCAGGCUUGACUGUACUAUAUGGUAAUCGGAGCUUUGCACCUCACACAGGCCUCAUCACGGAUGUCACGUUUUCUAAAAUCUUGCCCUUUAGAAUAGACCUCCUAUUCUUUUUAGAGUUGGCAUGGACAUGUACUUUAUCAUUCUCAGAUAUGAAAUAUGUGGUUUCAAAGAGCAGUAGAUUCAGAAAAAGGAGAAUUUUUAAAAAAUUCAAUUGCAAAUGGAGGACAAAUUGGUGACCUAGAAGGCUUGUGAUCAUGGUACAGGUCCUAACUAUUGAAUAUUUUUCAGUUCCCACUUGUAAUGAUGUCACCAGGAAAUUAGCAUGUUGUAUAAGUUUGUGGCAUAUUCGCAUUUAAGUUAAAUGGUAACAGGUAAUCUAUCCAGGUUUUGCCUUAACUAAAAUCACUAGGUAAGUUCUAGUACUUUUAUUGAGUCGUGUUUCAUUGCUCAUUGUAUAAAAGCACAUAAAAUUUUUGAGAGAUAGGUGUUUGCUUAUUUCGCUCAAUGCUCUUUACUGCCAUUUUCCCAGUAUCUGGUAGAAUGUUGAAUAGUGGAGAGAGUAGAAAUAUUUUCCUUGUUUUCUGUCUUUGGGUAACAGCUUUCAAUGCUUCACACUUACGUAUAAAACUACCCUUAGCUUUCUCACAGAUAGCCUUCAUCCACUCAAGGACUUUUUCUUCUAUUAUUAGUUUAAUGAGAAUUGUUUUCAUGCAUAGAUGUUGAAUUAUUUCAAAUACUUUUACUGUUUCUGUUGAAAGGAUCAUAUGGCUUUUCUGCCUUAUUCUACUCAUAUGAAAGUGAUGUUGACUGGUUUUCAAUUGAUGGACGAACCUUGUAUGGCUGGAAUAAGCCCCACCUGGUCAUGAUGUAUUAUUCUCUGCACAAAUUGCUGGAUUCAUUUGCUAUGUUGUUAAAGAUUUUGUGUAUAUGUUCAUGAGGGAUAUUGAGCUUAAAAAGAACCUGGAAUGGUGAAUCUGCUUUGAUGUUUCUAUCCAUGAAGAAUAUUUGAUGGAGUAUAAUAUUUCUGCCUUGAGAUUUUGCAGCAUCUCCCAGAUCUGUGUGGAAUUUGUUCAGAUUAAAGCUCCCGGCUGUCCUUCUUGGUCCUGCCUUGUGAGUUUCUCCUUGUGAAUGCACAGAACAAUGUGCUUCUCUUUGAUUGCGACCCUCUCCAUCCUUUCUAGAGGAAAACAUUGGCUAUUGUGCCCUGAGCUAACUACUGCCAGUCCUCCUAUUUUUUGCUGAGGAAGCCUGGCCCUGAGCUAGCAUCCGUGCCUACCUUCCUCUACUUUAUACGUGGGACACCUACCACAGCAUGGCAUGCCAAGCGGUGCCAUGUCCUCACUUGGGAUCCGAACCUACGAACCCCAGGCCACCGAGAAGCGGAACAUGUUUAUUUGGAUUCCCAUUUUUAUUCGGGUUUCUAGUGGUUACUGUAGAAAUCCCAGCAUGCUCCUCUAAGUCUUCUGCGGCCCUGGGAAGUGGUCUGCAUCCACCUCUGAGGCUCUCCUUUCACGUGAGUGAGAAGACUGCUAUGGUUUCAAACACAGAGCUUGCCUCUGGCUGAUUAUCUCACAUGGAUUAUUUAGUUUCUAUUGCCCCGUGGACCUGAACCUCCAAACACCUCUGCCUGACUCUGAACGCAGAGAGAUCAGACCUUCAUAAAUACAAAGAGUCAUUCUCAAGAAUGUGAACAAUGACUUUAUUUGUGAAAAUGAAUAACACUGAAAUCUUAUUUAUUGAUUCAGAAGAGGACUUAAGAUAUAUCAUUCUGGACCCCUUAUAUUCAGAUCCUCAUUUAGUGAGAACUGCCAAAAUUCAUCUAAUCAGUUUUCACAGCAACAUUUAAGAAAUACAAUAUGCUUAUAACUUUACAAAGAGAGGAAUUUCAGAAAGUACAAUUUUGAAUUCCAUCAUUACUACUGCAAUCAUAUUCUCAAGGUAUGAGGCAAAAUAAUGUGGAACUGCUAGUUACAUGUAAGUAUAUUUGACAUUUUCAGCAGUCCUCCUCCAAAAGAAAAGAAAAAGAGAGAAUGAAGAAUCAGAAAAUGACGGUUUGUACCAGAAUAGAAACACUACUAUCUGAGAAAAAAAAAUGCAUCUGGUUCCACAUAGUUGAAUGAAAUUUCUUCUAUUCAAACAGCGCAGUGCUUCAAACUCCAGACCCCUCUUGUCUCUACCACCUGGCAUAAUGAUUAUUCCCGGAUAAAUCUGAAUCAGCAAAGUGUAAAAUGUGGAGACUUCGUUUUAGAACAAUGCCAUGAAAAAAUCGGAAGCAUCUUAAUAGGAAGCUUAACGUGCCAAGUAUUAUCAUGUUGAUUUCCUGACCUGAUUUUCCAUCUCUGAUAUGAAGAGUCGCUCCUUGGUUCACUGGUGCUGUGCCUGAUUCGGUCUUCCGCUGAGUCUUUGCUACCAAAAGUGAAAGUAGUUAAGAUAGUUUAAUAAGUGCCGUUAUAAUGAACCAGCGGUCUCCAAGCCCUGUGCUUUAAAAAUCCAAUAAGCUGACUUUGCACUAUUUAACUCUGUUAAUUAGAGUAAGCGCCACCUGAAGGAAAUGAGACGUGGAGGACGGAUGUAACUGUAGCUUUGUGUUUUUUCCUUCUCCCAUUUCUACCCCGACCUAUGUGAAGGGGAGAGAGGCCAUAAUUGUAAUAAGGAUCCAGGCCACUUAAUAAAUGUUUAAUUGCAUUCAGAUCUGUUCACUUAGCUUACGAGUUAUUGUCAGCCCGUUAAUGGACCGUUAAUUAAAAAGCAUAUUCAAUGAGGUGAGGAUCAUUUUCAUGUGGAAGGUUUCUACCUGCCUUUGGAGUCCUGAUGGACAGUCUCUGCUAAUUAGCAUCAUUUCACAGAAGACCAAACCUUUGUGCCAUUUAAUAAAAUAUAGCUCAUGACAGCAGCAUAACGUAUGAAGGAACGAUAGCUAGGGUUAAGGACCAAAUUUGGCAGUGUGGCUGCAAAUUAAGAAAGAAUGAAGGUACAUAAGAAAGCUUUAAAGCUAUAAGUAAAAGGGGAAGUGUGCAAGCUCUAAAAAAUUUUUUGUAUUUUUUAAUAUAUUUUAUAGAAAAUGUGUCUGUUAAUACUCGGUCAGUUUUUGCCUUUGAUUCGUAGAACAAUUCCUCUUCCUUCGCAUUCAUUUCCCAGGACACUGUAUUUUACUACAUUUGUGAUUUCAAAAAUUCAACAUAAAAGCUGCUUUCUAGAUAUUUUUUAAGUUUAUGAUAUUAAAGAAUAAUAUAUUUCAAUAAAUUUUAUAAUAUAUUUUGCAUGCCUACUAAGGGAAAGUCACUGUUUUGGGGAAUAAAUUUUAGUUUUAAUUUCUUUCGUGAAUUGUGCAGAUGCUGUUGUAGAAAUAGGACAAGGUCCUCUAUCUUGUGGUGAUUUACACUUGAUAUUUUGGAAAAUAUACUCUUCAUACAGGUGCACUAAAUUAAUAGCACAUUUAACAACUCAAUUUUUUUUUUAAAGAUUUUAUUUUUUCCUUUUUCUCCCCAAAGCC
rnacentral:lncRNA from 1 species